UACGUAGGUGGCAAGCGUUGUCCGGAUUUACUGGGCGUAAAGAGCGCGCAGGCGGUCGUUCAAGUCGCGUGUGAAAGCCCCCGGCUCAACUGGGGAGGGUCACGCGAUACUGAUCGACUCGAAGGCAGGAGAGGGUAGUGGAAUUCCCGGUGUAGUGGUGAAAUGCGUAGAUAUCGGGAGGAACACCAGUGGCGAAGGCGACUACCUGGCCUGUUUCUGACGCUGAGGCGCGAAAGCUAGGGAG
rnacentral:rRNA from 1 species